rnacentral:sRNA from 1 species
ACAUUUGUGCAGUGUGCACAGAUGCAGGUGUGAGCUGUUGGCUCCCUUCCUGAAGGACCUCUGUGGGGGUCCUCACUGAGUCCGCAGAAUCAGUGGGCUCAGGACUUGCCCCAUGGGGCAGGGGGCGGGUAAGGAGAAGGUCCUUUAGAAAUGUUAAGGUGGAGUCCUUAACCCCCAUCCCAGCUCUGAGCUUAUACACUGACACUUUUAAAAUGUGUCAUCAACUUUGCCCACAGGUUUUCCUUAAUAGCUUCAAUAUAACUACCUAUAUGUGCUUAACUGAAAGCAAUACAAUAUGUGCAAAUAUUUCUGAGUCUGCCAGAAAGGCCAGCCUCACUGUGACCAUCAGCCCCCGGUUCAGGACUUGGGGACUGAGUAGUGUAUAUGUUUGCGCAGGUCGAAACAGUGGGGCCUGGGAAACCAAGUCACCUUCACCAGCUGCACCAUCCCCGUUGCCACGGGCUGGGAAAAAACCAAUGACACCACUGAAAACAACUCCAGUUGCCUCUCAACAGAAUGCUUCAAGUGUUUGUGAAGAAAAACCUAUACCUGCUGAA